rnacentral:tRNA from 1 species
ACCUGGCUGGCUCAGUAGGUAGAGCAUGUGACUCUUCAUCUUGGGGCUGUGGGUUUGAGCCCCACGUCGGGUA